rnacentral:rRNA from 1 species
AUACGGAGGACGCGAGCGUUAUCCGGAUUCAUUGGGUUUAAAGGGUGCGCAGGCGGCCGUGCAAGUCAGCGGUGAAAGCCCGGGGCUCAACCCCGGAAGUGCCGUUGAUACUGCAUGGCUGGAAUGCGGUCGAGGCGGGCGGAACGUGGCGGGUAGCGGGGGAAUGAGUAGAUAUGCCACAGAACGCCGAUAGCGGAGGCAGCUCGCCAGGCCUGCAUUGACGCUCGGGCACGAAAGCGUGGGGAUCGAACAGGAUUAGAUACCCUGGUAGUCCACGCCGUAAACGAUGGGCGCUCGUCGUCGGCGGCAGACAGUCGGCGGCCAAGCGAAAGCGAUAAGCGCCCCACCUGGGGAGUACGGUCGCAAGGCCGAAACUUAAAGGAAUUGACGGGG